rnacentral:lncRNA from 1 species
UUUAACCCCUAUUAAUAUUGAUAAUAAUAUCAUCUGUAUUUUUUUUUUUUGUGGUUAGCAAUGGUAAUUGUAUGGGCAUGACCAAUUCUUCACAGCACUAACAAGAGUCAAGAGACCAGAAGUUGCCAAUGUUUGCUGUGUUUUUUGCAUGUCAUCAUUACACGAGUCCGGGGCAAUCAUGACAAAUAGCAAGAUGUGUUCUUU